rnacentral:lncRNA from 1 species
GUAACGGAUAAACAAAAAUAAGUUGAACAUUUAGACAUUCUUUGUCAUGCGGCGGUAAUUAAACCUAAAAAAUUAAUUAUUGUCUUUUUCUUUUUCUUUUUCUGCUAAAUCAUCAAUUGCAGUAUUUGUGGCCAAAAGAAAAGAAUCAUAGGCCUCCUAAGUAAAAAUAAGGUAAAUUUUCCUUUAUAAAUUUAAAAGAAUAAACAAAUAAAAAAGAAAGAAGGUACACUUUCGCUCCUAUGGUUCAAUU